CCUACGGGUGGCUGCAGUGAGGAAUAUUGGUCAAUGGGCGGGAGCCUGAACCAGCCAAGUCGCGUGAGGGAAGAAGGUACUGAGUAUUGUAAACCUCUUUUGUCAGGGGACAAAGGCGGCCACGAGUCGCCGUAAGAGGGUACCCGGAGAAAAAGCAUCGGCUAACUCCGUGCCAGCAGCCGCGGUAAUACGGAGGAUGCGAGCGUUAUCCGGAUUUAUUGGGGUAAAGGGUUGGGCAGGCGGUGUGUUAGGUCAGCGGGAAAAGGUCGGGGCGCAACCCCGGCCCGCAGUUGAAACUGGCAGGCUCGAGUUGGAGAGAAGUAUGCGGAAUUCGUGGUGUAGCGGUGAAAUGCAUAGAUAGCGCGAAGAACCCUGAUUGCGAAGGCAGCAUACCGGCUCCACACUGACGCUGAGGCACGAAAGCGUGGGUAUCGAACAGGAUUAGAUACCCCUGUAGUC
rnacentral:rRNA from 1 species